CCAGCGUCGUCCCCGCGACCAGGAAGCUUGCUUGCACGAACUUCUUCGAAGCAGCGAAGGCGACGAGAUUGUGAUCCUUGCUCGCCACCAUCGCUCAUUGCCGCGCCGUGUUUCUCCGUUGCGACGGAUUUGCUGUCACUUGCGUUUCUCAGUUGGAUUGUGUCAACUACUUUUUAGCAGUGUUACUAGGUGCAGUAGUCGCUUACCGGUACUUAUCCUUCAAGUGGAGUUGAGGUCCACAACUUUUCGCAGUUCGUUGGAUUGUUGACGAGUAGAGAGCCAUGACUGAGGUACAAUUGCGUCUUAAGAUCGACCCACAUCCGAAAUUUCACGUUUCGUGGCUCACAGGAUUUCUUCGGUGGUUACUAUGCGUGGAAGCCCUCUUGUAUUUAGAUAAAAGGAAUAGGGUUUGAUCGCGUUGGACUAUUAUAUGUCUGUAUUUUAUACUUCGUGGUUGUGUUUUCUCCGUGUGAAAUUGGGUGUGACGGUAUUGGCGCCAUCAAGGUGUAAGGGAAACGAGUGGCUCGGGCUUUAAGUUUCUGUUUGUUAGCUCGUGCUGAAUUAGGGUUUAUAGGAAGCCUGUUAGAUAUUGUCUGGACUUAAUUGUAAAGGGUAUUAUCACGAGUCGAUGCCACUACCCUUUAUCAAUUUGGAUUUGGCUGGACGAUGAAUAUCAUGUGAAGUGGAUUCGUCGACACUUUGCUGCGUGCAGGUGUAGAUUUUAGGGCGAAGUUUUGGAGUCGUGUAUUGUGUUGAUUGCAUUCUGGUCGAUUUCACUGACUUACAUUUGUAGGUUUCAGACUCAAUCUGUAGGUUUACCUGAUUGUCCUUACCGGAACGUUCCAAUUUAUUUUUUCUCUAAUGAAUCUCCGUGCUAAGUGCUGGGUUUUGUUUUUGUGAGCUUUGCAGUACUGGGUAAGUCAAGGUAAGAAAUGGUGUGACUAUUGCAAAAUAUUUAUCGCCAACAAUGCCACUAGUCUGCGCAAUCAUGAGAUCGGGCAACGGCACAAGGAGGCAAUGGCUCAGCGCCUUACGAUCAUGCGCAAAGACAACAUUGCCAAAGAGAAGGAGAAACAACAAGCUCUCAAGGACCUCGAGCGUAUUGAACAGAGCUUGUCUAAUUCAGAGUCGCGCUUGUAUACUGGGUGGUCAGCAAGCGAAAAGGAGCUAUGAGAGGGACGUGGCAGCAGCAGAGAGGCUUGCAGGUUCUGCUAAUUACAGUGCUCAACGUGCAGCGCGUCCACCUGAAGCCCCUGGGGGUGCCCCGCCGGCCCCUGCCAUACCUGCCCCAAGAAGCAGCCAAAUCAAUAGCAAAUCCGAAGGAAAAGUAAACGAUUGGACCCUUGAUGAGAAGUCUGGGUACUAUUUCAAUGCAGCCACAGGAUACUACUACGAUCCUAACUCCGGUUUCUAUUAUAGCGAUAUCUUAGGAAAAUGGACAACACAAGAAGAAGCCCAUCAAGCUUCCUUAAAAGCACAUGCAGAGGCUGGAAUAGCUCCAGCAUCCUCCACAAUGUCGAAACAGCCAUCUCAUUCUAAAGAGGAACCAAAGAUUAGCAGUAGUGCUGCGACGGUAUCGCAUCCAAAGGCAGCAGUUACAACAUCUAGUACUGCCGCCCAAGCGUCUGUUCCAAAGCAAAAGGCCUUACCCAGUAAAGGUGGAAAAGGAGUUGCGUCCUCCUUGGAAGUGACUAAACGGAGAAGAGACGAGAAAACUGGGCCUGUUUCAAGUGAAGAAGCGGCUGCCUUGGCAGCAAGGGAAGCUGCCAAGAAGCGCGUCCUGGACAGAGAAAAGUCCUUGUUAGGGCUUUACCAGGCCUACUGAGCUAUGUAUCUCUUGCGCCAGUGUGCUUCUUUCCUGCGUCUUGUUUUUCGUCUGAUGGUGUACAAAAUUCUGAUGCAGCUUGCAUUCUGUUGCCUCUGGCUGUCAUGAUCAUUCAACUCAUUGAUGUAUGUUCGUCAAGCAGCGAUGCUGAUGAGCCAUGAUCAAAACUUUACUCAUUUCCACCAUAUCGGUCGCGUCUGACUAAAGACUUACUACCGAGCAGAUCAAGUUGGCAGAGUUCGAGCAGUCUUCGCAGCAUGCACAGUGGCUGGUAACGAAUUCACCGCAGGAAAAAAGAACCCAACUGAAGUUCUUAUGAAGUAGACCCUAUGAGGUAGCCAGUGCUGGUGGUCUGACCUCCACCAUUGGGUAAAUCAACUACCCAAUCUUGUUGACAACUACCCCGGUGGUUAUUACGACAGAGGAGUUCUCGAUGUAUGAUGUAGAUUUAAGUUCGCAAUGGAUAUAUUGAUUCAUCACUUGGAAAGCCUUAACCUGCCGGGCUCGACAACUGUUCUCUAUUCUAGAUAGCACGAUGUAUUCUAGACUAUCACGGCAACUGAACCCCGAACUCCAGAAAGGUUUGCCCUAACCGUAGGUGAUUUGAAACGAUUGAUGCAGGCACUACUCACUCAUAAAGGACUCUUGAAACAAAGCUCUGAACACAUUCCUCGGUGUGGAGCUCCUCGACAUCUGACGACGUUUGCGAGAGCUCUUGGUCUCAGAUUCAAAAUGGAUUUCCUGUUUGGUAUCUGGACUGAAAGUUGGAGCCCCGGACAUACCUUUCUGGAGUUCGGGGUUCAGUUGCGACCAGCGUAGGGGAUUUAUUGACAGUAUUUAACUACCAAACAAUCCUUACUAUUAACACCUUAGUAACUUGACCAUUGCUUCGAGCGAUAAGAUCUGAUCGUCUGGAUCUUCAGUUCACCUGACCGUAGAGUUAUUAUCGCUCUGAGACUAACGCCUCCUCCCCGAAAAUUUCUCAAGACCUGAGGUUUAGACUUCGACCUCAAAUUAGCCACAACCAUCCAUGUUUAUGACCAGUCUCGUAAAGUAGACUUGUGGGUUGUACUUGUGUAACCUUGUGCAAUAGAGAAUUACUAGAGGAAUGCAAAAAUAUUCCAUAACGUCUAAUUCAUAACA